rnacentral:rRNA from 1 species
GAUGAACGCUAGCGACAGGCUUAACACAUGCAAGUCGAGGGGCAGCAUAAAAGUAGCAAUACUUUGGUGGCGACCGACGCACGGGUGAGUAACGCGUAUGCAACCUACCUAUCAGAGGGGAAUAACCCGGCGAAAGUCGGACUAAUACCGCAUAAAACAGGGGCACCGCAUGGUGAUAUUUGUUAAAGAAAUUCGCUGAUAGAUGGGCAUGCGUUCCAUUAGGUAGUUGGUGAGGUAACGGCUCACCAAGCCGACGAUGGAUAGGGGAACUGAGAGGUUGGUCCCCCACACUGGUACUGAGACACGGACCAGACUCCUACGGGAGGCAGCAGUGAGGAAUAUUGGUCAAUGGGCGGGAGCCUGAACCAGCCAAGUCGCGUGAAGGAAGAAGGAUCUAUGGUUCGUAAACUUCUUUUGCAGGGGAAUAAAGUGCAGGACGUGUCCUGUUUUGUAUGUACCCUGAGAAUAAGGAUCGGCUAACUCCGUGCCAGCAGCCGCCGUAA